rnacentral:rRNA from 1 species
UUCCGGUUGAUCCUGCCGGAGGUCAUUGCUAUUGGAGUCCGAUUUAGCCAUGCUAGUCGCGCGGGUUUAGACCCGCGGCAUAUAGCUCAGUAACACGUGGCCAAACUACCCUAUGGACAGGGACAACCUCGGGAAACUGAGGCUAAUCCCUGAUACCACUCUCAUGCUGGAGUGCAGAGAGUGAGAAACGCUCCGGCGCCAUAGGAUGUGGCUGCGGCCGAUUAGGUAGAUGGUGGGGUAACGGCCCACCAUGCCCAUAAUCGGUACAGGUUGUGAGAGCAAGAGCCUGGAGACGGUAUCUGAGACAAGAUACCGGGCCCUACGGGGCGCAGCAGGCGCGAAACCUUUACACUGCACGACAGUGCGAUAAGGGGACUCCGAGUGCGAGGGCAUAUAGUCCUCGCUUUUCUGUACCGUAGGGAGGUACAGGAACAAGUGCUGGGCAAGACCGGUGCCAGCCGCCGCGGU